AAAUAUUCAAUUGUUCAAAAUUCAGAGUGGAAAUUAGAUGAUUUGACCAAGCCUUUUUAAAGGUACCCUCGUUCUAUCCAUUCACCUUGUUUUCUGUCUAGCUCUAAAUCCCAAAGUCACCGUCUUCAUCUUCUGCUACCCCUGCUCCUACUCUUUCAUCCGUCCAAUUCGUCGUCGUCAAUAUCAAUCGCCGGUUUAUUGUCGCGUGUUACCUGUUACUCUUUCGAUUUCUGCUUCAGUUGCCUCUUUAUUCAGUCAGAUUCACACUCAAUCCGUUUUCUUCACUGCUCUUUUUUUAUUCAUUAACUUCAUACUUUUUUUCCAUUGUUCAUUCAUUAUUUUAUAUUGUCUAUUAAAUUUUCUUUAUGCUGUUUUGUUUUGUGAAAUUUUCGAGUUUAUCAAGAAUAAUGUAGAUUUUUU
rnacentral:lncRNA from 1 species